rnacentral:ncRNA from 1 species
AUGCAGGAAGCUGAAAAUGCAAAACAGAGUAAGCA